rnacentral:rRNA from 1 species
UACGAAGGGGGCUAGCGUUGUUCGGAAUCACUGGGCGUAAAGCGCACGCAGGCGGAUUGAUAAGUCAGGGGUGAAAUCCCGGAGCUCAACUUCGGAAUUGCCUUUGAUACUGUCUGUCUUGAGUCCGGGAGAGGUGAGUGGAAUUCCUAGUGUAGAGGUGAAAUUCGUAGAUAUGAGGAAGAACACCAGUGGCGAAGGCGGCUCACUGGCCCGGUACUGACGCUCAUGUGCGAAAGCGUGGGGAGCAAACAGG